rnacentral:rRNA from 1 species
CCUACGGGUGGCAGCAGUGAGGAAUAUUGGUCAAUGGGAGCGAGCCUGAACCAGCCAUGUAGCGUGAAGGAUGACGGCCCUACGGGUUGUAAACUUCUUUUAUACAGGGAUAAAGUGACGUACGUGUGCGGUUUUGUAUGUAUGGUAUGAAUAAGGAUCGGCUAACUCCGUGCCAGCAGCCGCGGUAAUACGGAGGAUCCGAGCGUUAUCCGGAUUUAUUGGGUUUAAAGGGGGCGUAGGUGGUUUUUUAAGUCAGUUGUGAAAGUGUGAGGCUCAACAGUAGAACUGCAGUUGAUACUGUCGGACUUGAGUACAGAUGCGGUAGGCGGAAUUCGUGGUGUAGCGGUGAAAUGCUUAGAUAUCACGCAGAACUCCGAUUGCGAAGGCAGCUAACUAGACUGCCACUGACAUUGAUGCUCGAAAGUGUGGGUAUCAAACAGGAUUAGAUACCCCAGUAGUC